CGAACGGGUGAGUAACGCGUGAGCAACCUGCCUAUGACAGUGGGAUAGCCUCGGGAAACCGGGAUUAAUACCGCAUAAAAUCGUAGAAACACAUGUUUUAACGGUCAAAGAUUUAUCGGUCAUAGAUGGGCUCGCGUCUGAUUAGCUAGUUGGUGAGAUAACAGCCCACCAAGGCGACGAUCAGUAGCCGGUCUGAGAGGAUGAACGGCCACAUUGGAACUGAGAAACGGUCCAA
rnacentral:rRNA from 1 species